GACGAACGCUGGCGGCAUGCCUAACACAUGCAAGUCGAACGAGCCCUUCGGGUCUAGCUGCGCACGGCUGCUUAACACGGGGUAACUAACCCUUAAGUUCGGAGCCACUCACCGAAGGACAUCAUAAGACCGCAACAGCUAUUAGCACAAAAGCUCUAUCGCCUUCGGAUGGGACCGCGUUGGAUUAGCUAGUUGGUAGGGUAAAAGCCUACCAAGGCGACGAUCCUUAGCUGGUCUGAGAGGAUGAUCAGCCACACUGGGACUGAGACACGGCCCAGACUCCUACGGGAGGCAGCAGUGGGGAAUAUUGGACAAUGGGCGAAAGCCUGAUCCAGCGAUGCCGCGUGAGUGAUGAAGGCCUUAGGGUUGUAAAGCUCUUUUACCCGGGAUGAUAAUGACGGUACCGGGAGAAUAAGCGCCGGCUAACUCCGUG
rnacentral:rRNA from 1 species